CAGAGUUGCAAAACUCCCACAAACCAUCGCGAAUCUUACCCGUACGGUUGCCUCGGCGCUGGCGGUCCGGAAGGCCCUCGGGCCCCCCGGAUCCUCGGGUCUCCCGCUCGCGGGAGGCUGCCCGCCGGAAGUGCCGAAACCAAACUCUUGAUAUUUUAUGUCUCUCUGAGUAAACUUUUAAAUAAGUCA
rnacentral:misc_RNA from 1 species